ACCCGCACAAGCGGUGGAUGAUGUGGUUUAAUUCGAUGCAACGCGAAAACCUUACCCACCUUUGACAUGGCAGGAAUCCUAAGAGAUUUGGGAGUGCUCGAAAGAGAACCUGCACACAGGUGCUGCAUGGCUGUCGUCAGCUCGUGUCGUGAGAUGUUGGGUUAAGUCCCGCAACGAGCGCAACCCUUGCCAUUAGUUGCUACGAAAGGGCACUCUAAUGGGACUGCCGGUGACAAACCGGAGGAAGGUGGGGAUGACGUCAAGUCCUCAUGGCCCUUAUAGGUGGGGCUACACACGUCAUACAAUGGCCGGUACAGAGGGUAGCCAACCCGCGAGGGGGAGCCAAUCCCACAAAGCCGGUCGUAGUCCGGAUCGCAGUCUGCAACUCGACUGCGUGAAGUCGGAAUCGCUAGUAAUCGCGGAUCAGCAUGUCACGGUGAAUACGUUCCCGGGUCUU
rnacentral:rRNA from 1 species